CCGGGACAGGCCCCUGUGCCUCCAGCUUUGCGGAGUGACGCAGGCCCUGGGCUACAGCAACCUUACCAGCCCCUCCAGCUUAGAGGUGGCAGUGGCUCUCUGCGGCUGCGAUUUCUUUCUCGGAGCGUCCUCCCCAUCCCGUUCGGCCUCUGCCUCCACCGUCGUCUCUGUAACCCGUUCCCUGUGGGAGAGUCCCUGUUGCGGCGUUCAGGGGUUUCGGUUUUCUGGCCGAGCAGUGAUUAACGCGAGGGAAGGCGCUGACGGCAAGGUGGCAGGAAGAAAAUUCCAACACAGACCACAACACCUAUGGACCUGGAAAACAUUGUGCUCAGUGAAAGAAGCCAGACACAGAAGGACAAUGUUGUAUGA
rnacentral:lncRNA from 1 species